AAGAAGCCAAUCAGCGGCACCGCGGUUCCGGGGUAUCAAGUUUCCGCACCCGCCACUCACAUUUCAACCCAGACCCCAAGGAUGCCGGUCGUGAUGCCCACAACUCUGCUCCUGCUGCUGUCGGGGGCCCUGGCCGUGACCCAGGCCUGGGCGGGCUCCCACUCCCUGAGGUAUUUCUACACCGCGGUGUCCCGGCCCGGCCUCGGGGAGCCCCGCUUCAUCGCCGUGGGCUACGUGGACGACACGCAGUUCGUGCGGUUCGACACCGACGCCCCGAAUCCGAGGAUGGAGCCGCGGGCCCCGUGGGUGGAGCAAGAGGGGCCGGAGUAUUGGGACCGGGAGACGCGGAACGCGAAAAACAGCGCACAGACUUUAACAGUGAGCUUGCACAUCACGCGCGGCUACUACAACCAGAGCGAGUCCGGGUCGCACAACAUCCAGUGGACGUAUGGCUGUGACGUCGGACCGGACGGCCGCCUCCUCCGCGGGUACAGUCUGGAGUCCUAUGAUGGCAAGGAUUACAUCGCCCUGAACGAGGACCUGCGCUCCUGGACCGCGGCGGACACAGCGGCGCAGAUCACCCGCCGCAAGUGGGAGGUUGCUGGUGGGGCAGAGCGCUGGAGGAACUACCUGGAGGGCACGUGCGUGGAGUGGCUCGCCAAAUACCUGGAGAUGGGGAAGGAGACGCUGCUGCGCGCAGAAUCUCCCAAAACACACGUGACCCGCCACCAGAUCUCUGACCGUGAGGUGACCCUGAGGUGCUGGGCCCUGGGCUUCUACCCUGCGGAGAUCACCCUGACCUGGCAGCGUGAUGGGCAGGACCACACCCAGGACGCAGAGCUUGUGGACACCAGGCCUGCGGGAGAUGGGACCUUCCAGAAGUGGGCGGCUGUGGUGGUGUCUUCUGGAGAGGAGCAGAGAUACACGUGCCAUGUGCAGCACGAGGGACUGACCGAGCCCAUCACCCUGAGAUGGGAGCCAUCCUCUCAGCCCUCCAUCCCCAUCCCGGGCAUCAUUGCUGGUGUGGUUGUCCUUGUGGUCACUGUGGUGGUUGGAGCUGUGAUCUGGAGGAAGAAGUUUUCAGGAGGAAAAGGACCAAGCUAUUCUCAUGCUGCACGCGAUGACAGUACUCAGGGCUCUGAUUCAUCUCUAAUGGCUCCUAAAGUGUGAGACCCACUGCUUUUGGUGGACUGAGCGAUGCAGGAUCUGUUCACACUCCCACUUGGUGACAUCGAGAUCCCCUGACUUCCUGCAGAUGGUGUCAGAAUGUGUCUGCGUUCCUAUUAGCAUAUUGUGAGGACACAGGAGACUGGCCCCCCCUGCCCACCAUGACCCCUCCCCGUACUGAUUCCUGUUCACUUUCUGACCUGCUUUCCUGUUCCAGCAGAGUCCGUGCUGGACCGUCUCCGUCCCCGUUUUUUUUUCAUGUUGGGCCGAGUACUGACGCCUUACUUCCCCACUGAAAAUGAGAAUCCAGAUAUGAAUUUGUGUUUUGUAAUUCUUGGCAUGUGGGGAUGAUGAGGUAAUAAAAGAGAAGGUUUGUAAAAUUGCAAGAGAAAAUAAAUGAAAGCCCUGAGAACCUCCCAGAA